GUAACACUUACGUUCACCAAAGAGACCAUGCCCAGGGGUCUGAGUAUUGAGGCAGUGUGUAAGCAGCUGAGACAACUGUACGUGGUCAAGAAUGUGUCCUCUGAGUAUUCUGUUUCCAUAACCUGUGACCCUUCAACCUCCGCCAGCAACGAGAUCCAUCUCAGUAUCUACACAGUGGACCAGUUGAUGGACAGAUCCCCUAUAAAGGAGAUAACAGAG